GGAGAGGUGACAGAGUGGUCGAUUGUGCAGCACUGGAAAUGCUGUGUGGAUGUCAAAGUCCACCGGGGGUUCGAAUCCCCCCCUCUCCG
rnacentral:tRNA from 1 species